CUAAAGAGGAUGCAGGUUUUCCCGUUGUGCACGACGCUCAGAGGAGAAUAAAGCAGCGCUCCUGGAGUCUGCAGUAACUUACGGUGUGACGGAGCGUGCAGGUGCCAUCCGUACGGCUAAACACAAACAUAUUAACCUGUCACAGUUUCCCAUUCAGAACGUGAAUAAGGUAAAUCUGCACAGCACAAGGUGACAUUGACUCUUGUGUCUCAUCUCACCUGCAGAGAUCGUCUGAGAUCAACUUUAAAUGCUGAACCUUCAUCACCGACACCAUCUGUACAAGAACACAACCAAUGAGAGAAUCUGUCCAAAUCAUCAGACAAUUCAAUUAAAUAUGCAAUUU